UUGAAUGGUCCUGUGUGCUGUGUUCUCUGUCCUGCCUCUGGAUGCUGUGGAGGGUGCUCAGGCAAGCUCCGAAGUUGCGACAUGGAUGCAUUGACCUAUGAUGAUGUGCAUGUGAACUUCACUCGAGAAGAAUGGGCUUUGCUGAAUCCUACACAGAGGAAUCUCUACAAAGUUGUGAUGUUGGAGAUCUACAGGAACCUCAAAGCUGUAGGAUACAAUUGGGAAGACCAAAACACUGAAGAACAUUGUCAAAGUUCCAGAAGACAUGGAAGGUAUAUCCUGUGUCACAAUGGAUACAAGCCAUGUGAGCAUAGGGAUAUUGAAAGAAGCAGAACCUUCUCUCUCUCUCAAAACAAUUAAAAUAUAUGUAAUAGUCCACAUUUGAGCAAACUUUGUGAUACAAGUUUAUAAUUAGUUGGCUCUCCAACUUCAGUGGGAAUAUAUCCAUAAACUCACUGCAGAAAAUCCCUAUCAAUACUAGGAUUGUGGAAAUUCUUUUAUGUUUGUCCUGGUUUAUUAUGUCAUUGUAGUAUAUUUCAUAAUAUAGGAAAAUUUAUGAAUAUACCCAGUGUGGUAAAGCUCUGAGCUCUUCUAUUUCUCUUGAAAUAUGUGAAAAACCUCAUAGAGAAAAAGGAUGUAAAAAAUCUUAAGAUGUGAGUUGUCUUUACAAUUAGACCAAAUUGUAAGAUUAAUUCCUACAGAUAAAAAGAAUCAUCAAUGUUGUGAAUGUGGUAAAGCUUUCACAUGUGCCAAUUAUCUUUGCAGGCAUGAAAGAAGUCAUACUGGAGAAAAACCCUCUGAAAAUACUCAAUGUGGUAAAGCCUUUGCAAAUCAAAGUCAUGUCCAUGUACAUAAAAGAAUACAUACUGGAGAGAAACCCUAUGAAUGUAAUCAGUGUGGUAAAGCCUUUGCACAAAAGGCUCAUCUCAAAAUACAUAUACUAACACAUACUGGAGAGAAACCUUACAAAUGUGAUCAAUGUGAUAAAGCCUUUGCAUCUCAUAGUACUCUCCAAGUACAUAAAAGAACACAUACUGGAGAGAAACCCUAUGAAUGUGAACAGUGUGGUAAAGCCUUUGCACAUCAUUGUCAUUUCCAAGUACAUAAAAGAAUACAUACUGGAGAGAAACCUUA
rnacentral:lncRNA from 1 species